UACGAAGGGGGCUAGCGUUGCUCGGAAUUACUGGGCGUAAAGGGCGCGUAGGCGGAUAUUUAAGUCGGGGGUGAAAGCCCAGGGCUCAACCCUGGAAUUGCCUUCGAUACUGGAUAUCUUGAGUUCGGGAGAGGUGAGUGGAAUGCCGAGUGUAGAGGUGAAAUGCGUAGAGAUGCGGCGGAACACCAGUGGCGAAGGCGACUCACUGGCCCGAUACUGACGCUGAGGCGCGAAAGCGUGGGGAGCAAACAGG
rnacentral:rRNA from 1 species